rnacentral:rRNA from 1 species
CCUACGGGAGGCUGCAGUGAGGAAUAUUGGUCAAUGGGCUGAAGCCUGAACCAGCCAAGUCGCGUGAGGGAAUAAGGCCCUACGGGUCGUAAACCUCUUUUGCCGGGGAGCAAGGGCGGGGACGUGUCCCGGCCCGGAGAGUACCCGGAGAAAAAGCAUCGGCUAACUCCGGUCCAGCAGCCGCGGUAAUACGGAGGAUGCGCGCGUUAUCCGGAUUUAUUGGGUUUAAAGGGUGCGUAGGCGGGCUUUUAAGUCAGCGGGAAAAAGUCGGGGCUCAACCCCGUCCGGCCGUUGAAACUGGGGGCCUUGAGUGGGCGAGAAGAAGGCGGAAUGCGUGGUGUAGCGGUGAAAUGCAUAGAUAUCACGCAGAACCCCGAUUGCGAAGGCAGCCUUCCGGCGCCCUACUGACGCUGAGGCACGAAAGUGCGGGGAUCGAACAGGAUUAGAUACCCUAGUAGUC